rnacentral:rRNA from 1 species
UUAAAAUUGUUGCAGUUAAAACGCUCGUAGUUGAAUUUCAAAGAAUCAAUAUUUUAAGUAAUACUUUUGCUAUAAGAUGCUUAGACAAUACAACGUAUCUGUUCUUUGCAUUCCUUAUGCAAAAUGUGUUCUUAUUAUAAAAAGGAUUCUUUUUAAAAUCUCUUUUGCUAUUUUUUAGUAUUGGAGAUUUUGUUACUUUGAGUAAAUUAGAGUGUUCAAAGCAAACAGUUAAAGCAUUUUAUUGCGUUUGAAUACUACAGCAUGGAAUAACAAAAUUGAACAAGUCAGAAUUCUGUUCUUUUUUCUUAUUUUGGCUUAGUUACGAUUAAUAGGAGUAGCUUGGGGGCAUUUGUAUUCAGAUGUCAGAGGUGAAAUUCUUAGAUUUUCUGGAGACAAACAACUGCGAAAGCAUUUGCCUAAAAUACUUCCAUUAAUCAAGAACGAAAGUUAAGGGAGUGAAGACGAUCAGAUACCGUCGUAAUCUUAACCAUAAACUAUGCCGACUAGGUUUUGGAUGAAAGAUUUUUAAAUAAGAAAAUUCCUUUCGGGGAAAUUUCUUAGAUUGCUUCCUUCAGUACCUUAUGAGAAAUCAAAGUCUUUGGGUUCUGGGGCGAGUAUUCGCGCAAGCGAGAAAGUUAAAAGAAUUGACGGAAGGGCACCACCAGGCGUGGAGCUUGCGGCUUAAUUUGACUCAACACGGGGAAACUCACUAGUUUAAGACAAGAGUAGGAUUGACAGAUUAAUAGCUCUUUCUUGAUUUCUUGGAUGGUGAUGCAUGGCCGUUUUUAGUUCGUGAAUAUGAUUUGUCUGGUUAAUUCCGAUAACGAACGAGAUCUUAACCUGCUAAUUAGCGGCGAAUACGUCAUAUUCUUAUGCGAAAUUGAAUAUAGAUGAAUUUGCUUAUUUUGAAGAAUACACUAGGAUACAAUUAAUGUGUCCUUUUCCCUAUUCUUCUUAAUUCGCAAUUCAUGCUGUUUCUCUUUUGCAUUAGAAUGUAUUCGUUUGAUUGUAAAGCUUCUUAGAGGAACGAUGUGUGUCUAACACAAGGAAGUUUAAGGCAACAACAAG